UACGGGGGGGGGCAAGCGUUGUUCGGAAUUACUGGGCGUAAAGGGCUCGUAGGUGGCCAACUAAGUCAGACGUGAAAUCCCUCGGCUUAACCGGGGGAACUGCGUCUGAUACUGGACGGCUUGAGUUUUGGGGAGAGGGACGCGGAAUUCCAGGUGUAGCGGUGAAAUGCGUAGAUAUCUGGAGGAACACCGGUGGCGAAGGCGGCGUCCUGGACCAACACUGACACUGAGGAGCGAAAGCCAGGGGAGCAAAGCGG
rnacentral:rRNA from 1 species